GGUCCAUGGUGUAAUGGUUAGCACUUUGGACUCUGAAUCCAGUGAUCUGAGUUCAAAUCUUGGUGAGACCU
rnacentral:tRNA from 1 species